UUUGAUUCUUUAAUCUCCUAAAAGGGUCAGAAUUCCCAAAAUGAAGCAUCCAUUUCUUGUACCUAGACUGAGAUAUACAAAAUCUUGAGGUAAAACAAGAACUGGGUAAUGAGCAAUAUUGAUUCUUGAAACUUCUUAAUGAUUCAGAAUUUCCAGUAUGGGGUUUCCAUUUCUUGUGAGUAACUAAUAAUCUGUCAUUUGAA
rnacentral:misc_RNA from 1 species